rnacentral:rRNA from 1 species
CCUACGGGGGGCAGCAGUGGGGAAUAUUGGACAAUGGGGGCAACCCUGAUCCAGCCAUGCCGCGUGUGUGAAGAAGGCCCUCGGGUUGUAAAGCACUUUCAGUGAGGAAGAACGCCUGGUGGUUAAUACCCAUCAGGAAAGACAUCACUCACAGAAGAAGCACCGGCUAACUCCGUGCCAGCAGCCGCGGUAAUACGGAGGGUGCGAGCGUUAAUCGGAAUUACUGGGCGUAAAGCGCGCGUAGGUGGCUUGAUAAGCCGGUUGUGAAAGCCCCGGGCUCAACCUGGGAACGGCAUCCGGAACUGUCAAGCUAGAGUGCAGGAGAGGAAGGUAGAAUUCCCGGUGUAGCGGUGAAAUGCGUAGAGAUCGGGAGGAAUACCAGUGGCGAAGGCGGCCUUCUGGACUGACACUGACACUGAGGUGCGAAAGCGUGGGUAGCAAACAGGAUUAGAUACCCGGGUAGUCC